rnacentral:lncRNA from 1 species
AAGCCAAGAAAGGGACAGAGACAGAAAAAGCAAAGAGGAAGCAGCGGCACACAAAGACAAGGAGAGACCGCGGCUCUCACACGGCGACCGGGCACCAGAUGGGAAAGCAAGCAGAGAUGGUAAGAGUGCAGACAAGAAACCGGACAGGCCUAAAGGCGAAGACCACGAAAAGGAGAAAGAGAGAGACAAGAGCAAGCACAAAGAAGGGGAGAAGGACAGAGAGCGGUACCACAAAGACAGGGACCACACCGACAGAGUGAAAAGCAAAAGGUGAAACUGGAGGCUGCUUUAGCGUCUUACAUGUGUGUCUUUAUAAGAUUGCCUGGUAGGACUGUGCCAUCUUAACCCUCGGAUUGCUGCUUGGCAGAGCAGUAAACUAUGCUGGUGCACGGUCCUGUGACCAGUGCCCUCCGCCCCUUCUUUACACCACUGUCCUACCUACAGGAAUUUAAUAUUUUUAAAGUUUUACAAUACUGUAUAUUCAAAGAUUUGUUUAAUUAAUAUGCAAUAAAGGCUUAGAAAUUUUAGUUUUAUUCCUUAAUUGGUAAAUAUGGUUAACUAUGAAAUAUAUUUCCUGCCUCUAGUGAAUGUCCUUUCUAUAAUGACUAAUUUGAAAGUAAUCUGUGCUCUGUACAUUUGUUUUCAAUUGCACUGUUUUUAAAGAAAAUGUAGAGGAGCAGCAAAAAAGCCAAGCGACUUCCCGAUGAGACCAUACUAUUUAGGUGGCAGUUUUUGACUGUAUCACGACCCCAGGGAGGUCAUGGGUUGCUUUAAUCUGUGCUCAUUGAAGGCGUUUCUUACCAUGUACUGCAGUUUGUGGUAGGCCAUAUCCCUUUCCUUUCUGGCUCUUCAGAAACUUGAAUACUUAAGCUUGUACAUGAUCUUGUGUUUUGCUAUCCUUUUUACUGUAAAAUGUAAAUAUUUUAAGGGAUAUUUUGAUUCUAAAUAUGAUAAAAGAAUUUCUCACCUACUUUGUGUGUGUGAUUUGAAAUUCAGUAGUAAAAGAGAUUCUUCGAAGCUUCUUCUCAAGACAUUAUUAUUUUACUCAGCCAAGAGUAUGUAGAUACACUGUCAGACACGGCCUAAGAGAGGAAUGGCUUUCUUACAUCUUAGAUGAUUCACGUCUAAAGAGGCUAGUGCUUAGAACUUCCAGCAGAUAGCUCUGCAGUUACCCACUUAGUUGCUGUUAUGUUUCUGGAAGCUUACAUAUGAUUAAACACAGUAAUCAUUAUAAAACUGCAGAACUUAAGUGAAAUGUAUUUUGAUUUUUGAUUUUUUUGUGGGGGGGUAAAGUGAUUUGUUUGUAGGGCAACUGUAAAACUGAGUAUGCCAGUUUGACUUGAAAUAGAAAAUACACAAGACUGUUGUUCUUUCAGAUCUAAAUUUAUCUACACCCCGAAAUACAUCUUAUGCUGAUGUUUAAAACCUAAAGCAGUAGCUGCCAGAUGAUGCUAACACUCGAGACCCCACUCAAGAGCGAUCAGUUCUUAUCUACUUGUACCCAUGAAGAAGAAUUCCAGUAACUCCACAAAAUUAAGAGAACUGUUUUUAAAGGAUUACCAGGUUUUUGAAACCGAAUUAACCUUGCUAGAGAAAACAGCAGUCAAACAUUUUGUCUGAAUUGCAAGGAUUGCAGUAUAUUUUUUUUCCAUCUUUACCUCUGAAAUUUAUCAUCAUCAUGAAAGUUCUAAAAUGAAGGAUUUCCGUUUAAAUAAAGUAUUUUCAACGUUU